GAUGAAGAACGUAGCAAAAUGCGAUAAGUAAUGUGAAUUGCAGAAUUCAGUGAAUCAUCGAAUCUUUGAACGCACAUUGCGCCCGAUGGUAUUCCGGCGGGCAUGCCUGUUCGAGCGUCAUUUCAACCCUCAAGCCCCCGGGUUUGGUGUUGGGGAUCGGCUCUGCCCUUCUGGGCGGUGCCGCCCCCGAAAUACAUUGGCGGUCUCGCUGCAGCCUCCAUUGCGUAGUAGCUAACACCUCGCAACUGGAACGCGGCGCGGCCAUGCCGUAAAACCCCAACUUCUGAAUGUUGACCUCGGAUCAGGUAGGAAUACCCGCUGAACUUAAGCAUAUCAAUAAGCGGAGGA
rnacentral:misc_RNA from 1 species